rnacentral:tRNA from 1 species
UGUCCCAUGGUGUAAUUGGUAACACGUCAGAUUUUGGUUCUGAAGAGUUCAGGUUCGAGCCCUGGUGGGACAA